UUCUAUGGUUCAAAAUCAGGGUGAGGGCUCGUUUUAUAACUUCUUGGUUUUCUUUGGUGGUUUUAUGGGAAGUAAAAUAUUUGAGGGGCUUUUAGAUGUGAGUGCAUUUCUACCCAUGGAAUUUGAAGUUGUGAUAUUUGUGGAAUUGCAUAUGUGCUGAUCUUGGUAUAGCAGAAAGUGUAGAUAGUGGAAUUUGCACUUUAAUGUGAAAAUGCUUGCUACUUCAUGCUUGUUGUGUGGACUAUACAGAGUUCUGUAAUUGCUUUAGUUUGAUUGCAAUGGUGCAGAACUAAUUAUGGUUGUUAAAUCCAGACUAGACCAGCUGGUUGGAUGGGAAUUAGAUCCUGGUCCAGUUCGGUUUAACCAUCAUACCCUGGUUUUAGAAACCUGGUGUGAACUAGUGUGAAUUGGCCCAGCAACCUGCGGACCACAAAUCUGGCCAUGUUUGAAAUGGUCAACUCUUUUAUGCCAAUAACCAUGUAAAUUACUACAUUACUUCACAA
rnacentral:misc_RNA from 1 species